UUCUAUUAUUUGCAGUCAGUAACAAAGAUUCAUUCUUGUGUCAAUCACGCAACAAGGAGAAUCUUUGUCACUUAGUGUAAUUAAUAGCUGCGCC
ensembl:miRNA microRNA 802